ensembl:lncRNA
AGGAUCUGUAAUAUCCUUGGAGGGUCAUCAUGUCAGAGUACCAUCAACAUGCAUGCUGCAGCGCACCAAGUACAGCCGCCUUCGCAACGAUUCCCUCAGCUCCCUGGACGACCGACUCCAGGACACCAAGGGGGGACCCGCAGGCCCUGGCCGCACCGCUCGCCCCGCUACGCGCCCAGGACGCCCAUGCCCGGGCCCCCAACGGAGAGAGCAGCACCCUGAGGGGCUUCAUCCCCCGCAUGGCCGGCAUCUCGCUGCUGGGUGGCCUGGGGGGCGCUGACCCACAAAUGCGGGCACAGAAACAUAGACAGACGUGCGGAUGAGCGACCCGUCUCGGACGCGGACUGGACGUCGGGCCAAGCGUCCCGUUGCCACGCCGGAGGCACCAAGGGGCCCAUCGCUCUGCAGGGGUGUCCCCUACACCCGCUGCAAGGUGGUUUGUGCCGUUUGAAGAUAGUCCCCCCGGAAGAGGAGGGCCCUGAGAACAGCGUGGUCCAUCAUCAUCAUGUGGAGGCAAAGCUACCUGUGUGGGCAGUAGUGACUCAUCCUGGCUCUGUGCUCCUUUCUAGAUCUGCUGUCAGAGAGAAAGAAACUGUCUGUGUGUGAGAGGGAGAGAGGAAGGGAGAGAGAGAGCGAGAGAGAGAGAGAGAGGGAGAGAGAGAGAGUUCAAAGUGUAUGCAUUCGUGCGUAUGUGUUUGUGUGUGUGAGUGUGUACAUGUAUGUGUGGAUGUGCAUGUGUGUGUGUGUGUGUGUGUGUGUGUGUGUGUGUGUGUGUGUGUCUGUGUGUCUGUGCAUGUCUGUUUGCGUGUAUGCCUUCAUGUCUGUGUGUGUGCACAUCCAUCCGGUAUCCGGUAUCGGCAGAAACCCAUGCUGCCCUGAACCGGAGUACAUGGGUAGCCUGGAAGUAACGCAGUCCAUGAGAACGCUGGACUUUGACACAAGAAUGCAAAUUACACGAGAGGCUAUUAGUCGUCUAUGUGAGGCAUCGGCAGGUGUCAAGUCAGCUAUAAGAAGUAAAAGGGUAAGACACAAGCACACACAUGUACACACACGCACACGUACACACACACACACGCACACGCGCACGCACACGCAAACACUCAUAAUGAACAGUGAUCUUGUGAUUAGUCCCUGCAGUGGUUUUCAAAACUUUUGUUGUGAAUAAAAAUAAUGUAUUGCAUAGCUGUUAUAUAUUUUAGGGAACACUAUAGAGGUGUACAGGCUAACACUAACUGAACACUGUACAUUGUAAAUUAGUAUACACUCAAAAGGCAGCAAGAAAAUGACUUAGUACAUCUGAUAACAGGCUUAUUCAAGGACAUAUGAAUACUGUUUAGUGUGACUUGGUUAUUAUUAAUAUUUAAUCUCAGGUCAGACUUGAGCUGAAUCCACGCUGUGCCUUUUCACCUGUUAAGAACCACGUGUCUGCAGAACAAUCUUGUUUUCAAUUCGCAAUCCAAAAAUCUCUCUCUCUCUCUCUCUCUCUCUCUCUCUCUCUCUCUCUCUCUCUCUCUCUCUCUCUCUCUCUCUCUCUCUCUCUCUCUCUCGUUUAUGUAUGCAGGGGUUCAAAGCACAAUUGAAUGGAUGACAAGGAUUCACUUGAUGGAUCUUACCUGAUAUGUUUUUCUAUCUUUAGUUGCAUUAGUUUUGGAUGUUUUAACUGAAGUAAUCAUCUUUUUGGCGUGUUUUUGUUUUGGGAUCACCAUGAUGUUACCUGGCUUUUAACUACUUUUGUUAACUCUUACAUAUGUAAACAACACUGCUUGAUUCCUAAUAAAAUGCCUCUCUUAAUUGCAUAUUUUAUUGCUUUCUUACUUUAAUGUG